CGGGAUUGGGAGCUUGCUCCCAUGAGAGUGGCGCACGGGUGAGUAACGCGUAUGCAACCUACCUUUAACUGAGGGAUAGCCCAUAGAAAUGUGGAUUAAUACCUCAUAGUUCUUUUGUUCCGCAUGGAAUGAAAGAUAAAGCUCCGGCGGUUAAAGAUGGGCAUGCGUGACAUUAGUUUGUUGGUGAGGUAACGGCUCACCAAGACUACGAUGUCUAGGGGUUCUGAGAGGAUGAUCCCCCACACUGGUACUGAGACACGGACCAGACUCCUACGGGAGGCAGCAGUGAGGAAUAUUGGUCAAUGGGCGCAAGCCUGAACCAGCCAUCCCGCGUGAAGGAUGAAGGCCCUAUGGGUCGUAAACUUCUUUUAUACACCAAGAAAAAGCAGGACGUGUCCUGCCCCGACGGUAGUGUAUGAAUAAGCAUCGGCUAACUCCGUGCCAGCAGCCGCGGUAAUACGGAGGAUGCAAGCGUUAUCCGGAUUUAUUGGGUUUAAAGGGUGCGUAGGCGGCUUUUUAAGUCAGUGGUGAAAUCCUGUCGCUUAACGAUAGAAUUGCCAUUGAUACUGAAAAGCUUGAGUACAAUUGAGGUAAGCGGAAUGUGUAGUGUAGCGGUGAAAUGCUUAGAUAUUACACAGAACACCGAUUGCGAAGGCAGCUUACUAAACUGUCACUGACGCUGAUGCACGAAAGCGUGGGGAGCGAACAGGAUUAGAUACCCUGGUAGUCCACGCCGUAAACGAUGAUCACUCGCUGUAUGCGAUACACAGUAUGCGGCCAAGCGAAAGCAUUAAGUGAUCCA
rnacentral:rRNA from 1 species